GGGUCAUUUCAAAGAGAGCUAUGGGACUAAGACCAGGAGCUCUUAACGUUGUGGCCUAAAAUUGAAGUUCUCCGUAGGCUGUGAUGGAUACUCAGUAGCGCUAUUUUGUCCUGAGGAGAUAAAAGA